rnacentral:rRNA from 1 species
AGCGAACGCUGGCGACAGGCCUAACACAUGCAAGUCGAACGGACCCUUCGGGGUUAGUGGCGGACGGGUGAGUAACACGUGGGAACGUGCCUUUAGGUUCGGAAUAGCUCCUGGAAACGGGUGGUAAUGCCGAAUGUGCCCUUCGGGGGAAAGAGUUAUCGCCUUUAGAGCGGCCCGCGUCUGAUUAGCUAGUUGGUGAGGUAAUGGCUCACCAAGGCGACGAUCAGUAGCUGGUCUGAGAGGAUGACCAGCCACAUUGAGACUGAGACACGGCCCAAACUCCUACGGGAGGCAGCAGUGGGGAAUCUUGCGCGAUGGGCGAAAGCCUGACGCAGCCAUGCCGCGCGGAUGAUGAAGGUCUUAGGAUUGUAAAAUCCUUUCACCGGUGAAGAUAAUGACUGUAGCCGGAGAAGAAGCCCCGGCUAACUUCGUGCCAGCAGCCGCCGUAAUAC